GUCGGCGUGGUGGAAUGGAAGACACAAUGGACUUAAAAUCCAUCGGGAAACCAUGCGGGUUCAAGUCCCGUCGCCGAUA
rnacentral:tRNA from 1 species